rnacentral:rRNA from 1 species
AACGAACGCUGGCGGCAUGCCUAACACAUGCAAGUCGAACGAGAUCUUCGGGUCUAGUGGCGCACGGGUGCGUAACGCGUGGGAAUCUGCCCUUUGAUUCGGAAUAACAGUUGGAAACGACUGCUAAUACCGGAUGAUGACGAAAGUCCAAAGAUUUAUCGCCAGAGGAUGAGCCCGCGUAGGAUUAGCUAGUUGGUGUGGUAAAGGCGCACCAAGGCGACGAUCCUUAGCUGGUCUGAGAGGAUGAUCAGCCACACUGGGACUGAGACACGGCCCAGACUCCUACGGGAGGCAGCAGUGGGGAAUAUUGGACAAUGGGCGGAAGCCUGAUCCAGCAAUGCCGCGUGAGUGAUGAAGGCCUUAGGGUUGUAAAGCUCUUUUACCCGGGAUGAUAAUGACAGUACCGGGAGAAUAAGCUCCGGCUAACUCCGUGCCAGCCGCCGCAGUAA